rnacentral:rRNA from 1 species
UAGGGAAUCUUCCACAAUGGACGCAAGUCUGAUGGAGCAACGCCGCGUGAGUGAAGAAGGCUUUCGGGUCGUAAAACUCUGUUAUUGAAGAAGAACGUGUGUGACAGUAACUGGUCAUGCAGUGACGGUAUUCAAUCAGAAAGUCACGGCUAACUACGUGCCAGCAGCCGCGGUAAUACGUAGGUGGCAAGCGUUGUCCGGAUUUAUUGGGCGUAAAGCGAGUGCAGGCGGUCUUUUAAGUCUGAUGUGAAAGCCUUCGGCUUAACCGAAGAAGGGCAUCGGAAACUGGGAGACUUGAGUGCAGAAGGAGGAGA